AAAAAAUAUAAAAUGAUUAAUAUUGAUAUGCUUCGACUAUUUUUGCCUCUCCUCGGUGGUUCCGUAGCAGGUUUUUUCGGACGUUUUCUAGGAUCAGAAGGAAGCGCUAUAAUGAUCACUACGUGCGUUUCAUUCUGUGCGCUAGUGGUAUUUAUAUUUGGAUUUCGUAAGAAAGGACCGCUGAAGAGGAUUCUCUAUCUCUUCUUAGUGGGGUUCGUGCUAUCUUUGAUCCGGAUCAAAGUCGUCUAUCUACUGGGUGGUCAGGCUUUGCUCCUGUUAGAACCCCUUCUAUGGUAUGGCGUAGGACCUGGCGGGGCAUCUUCCUCCUCAGAAUGGUUCACGUAUACAUCCGAUAUGGUCGAAGAUUCGGCCAGUUCCGGGCGUACCUCCUCGUCGGUCAAUCAACCGAUUCCUGAGGAGCAGGCUUGGGAAAGGGAGGCUCGGGCACAAGAGCACGACCGCAUCUCUGCCGAGGUAGAGACUAUCACGAGCGCCUGCGAGAAUUUGGAGGCGGCCAUGGUACGGAAAGCCCAAAUUCUCCUGCAUCAACGAGGGAUAACUCUAGAGGAUCCAGAGGAUGUCAAGCGUGCUCUCCAGUUGGCUCUACAUGACGACUGGGAGCACGCUAUAGAUGACCGUAAGAGGCAUUUCACUGUGCUCAGGCGCAACUUCGGAACAGCUCGCUGUGAAAGGUGGAAUCCGUUCAUUGAUGAGCUCAGGGGCUUGGGGAACCAUCAGGUAAACGCCAGACAUUAUGUCGACUAGGCGUUCGUAACCUAA